ensembl:lncRNA
CUGGCCUCAGCCCCUCUCACAUGGCUUUCCAUUCUCAACGUGACCUCUGUGCUUGGAUGUGAGAGCUGCCCUCAGAAAGCUGGCUGUCAGCUGACAGCCCACUCUGCAUGCUGCGGGCAAGGAUCAGCCCCUCUCAAGCAAUAUAAGCCCCAGGGAGAUCUAGGUGAGGACCAGCUGGCCAUCUGGAGCUGCGUGCUUCGUUUGGCGUACUUGGUGAAGAGUAAUGAAGCUGGAGCACGAGAGAUGUGGCAAUCACUGGCAAGUGCUGUAGCUGGACGAGGCCCUCGGCUCUCCCUGCUGCUGCUUCUUGAGUAGAAAACAGAAAAAAGGCAACAGGAACCUGUGGGGACUGAGUCUGAGCACCGUGAGAGCAAGCAGCAAAGCGUGUGUGUGUCUUGAAAGGUUGGUGAAACACCCAAGGGACAUCCAGCACUUCAUGGCCAUCAUUUCACACCGCGCCAGAACACAGAGGA